UUUUAAUUUACCCAGGGUACAUAUCUGGUAAACAUUUCAACAUUAAUAUUUUUUGUUGGGUACAUUUCGGGUACAUUUUAACUUUUCAAUUUUUAAUCUGGGUACAUU